GCACAUUGAACAUUUUUUCAUAUGCUUUAUUAACAUUUCUAAAUGCAAUAUUCACAUUUUAACACAUGAUCAACAUUUUUUCUAUACACAUUUAACAUUUUCCAAAUGCUUGAUUAACAUUUUUUAAAUACUUGUUCAACAUUUUUUAAAUGCUUGAUUAAUAUUUUUGUACACAUGAUAAAUUUUUCCAUCAUUUUUUAUUACAUGGUGAACAUUUUUUCUAUAUAGAUUUAACAUUUUUCAAAUGUUUGACCAAUAUUUUUAAAAACUUGUUCAACAUUUUUUCAAAUGCUUGAUUAACAUUUUUAUAUACAUGAUAAAAAGUUCAUCAUUUUUAAUGCAUGGUCAACAUUUUAUAUGUUAUUAGUAGUAUUACAAGCGCCGGGAGCGCGGCGUCACGCCGCGCCCGUCAGAUAGCCUGGUAUAAUGAGCAGAAAGAAUAGAACAAUAAAGCAUAUGCAUGUGGGCACAACGCGUCGCUUAUUCGUCCCACACAAUAUUUUUGAUCCGUCCCUUUCCAGACAUCGUCUCAUGGUCCUGUCGUCUACUGCACCUACGGACAAUGCUUCGCCAUGGCCACCGACAUUCUCUUGCCAAAAGGCGAACCACUUGGCUUUGUCAUCGACCGGCGUUGCACAGCGGAUGUGAGGAACGACCAAAUCUGGCAGCGUUCCAAAAACAGUUCAGACUUUAGAAGUUGAAGCACCAUGUGAUUUAUUUUAUGAUAUAAUAACAAUGAAAAGAGCUGUCUUGCUGAAAUCUUAGUUGUACAUCCCCAAUUGAAUAGCCUAGUCGGCACUGAGAAAUGCUAGUGAGGGAUGCUAAGUCGACAAUAUUGGUGAUACAAAAAUCAAAUUUCAAAGGAAAGGAGGGAACUCUUGCAGUUUGCCACAUAUGUAUAUUCAACCACCUGUGUUAGCAAAUUAUAAGUUGAUAUGAGAUGCGACUGAGUCAUUAAGAGUCCGACAUUCAGAUUGCUAGUAGAAAACUAAUUUAGAUACACAGGUAUUGUGUCAUGUGCGAGAACCAAGCAGAACGGACUAAGAAGAUGCUCGGUCAUCUCUGUUGUGCAUAAAUUGCACGUCAAUCCUGUAAUUUCCGGCUCCGUUGAUUUGAUGAGUACGUAGUUGUUGAUGCUAGUUUUUGGCACGGAUGUAAACUUAAUUAAGAUGGCCUCAAAUGAAAGACUUCUCAAUAUGAAGAAGUUUCGUAUCAUUGAAGUGAACACCUUUUAUGUUUAGGUCAUUGUCAUCCGACCUCAUCUCAGGGGUCGAAACUAAGCUCGAUAUAUUGAGAUCCAGGGUUCUGGAGUACUGUUCAGCCGAUUACCCCUUCAAGAUGACCUCAAAUGAAAGAGUAUUCUGAAUGAAAUGUCUUUGUCUCAAUUAUGAUAUAUAAAUCAUCUCAAUCUGUGGUCAUAUGUGACCUGUGGAGCCGAAACAAGAUCUGGCUGAAAAAUCCCGUCGCGCAAUCAGAGGUCCUAGGUAAUCCCGAGGUCACAUUCAAUCCGAGGACCCAACCGAGGACGCAAUCCGAGGACAUAUGCAAUCUGAGGUCGUAUGAAAUCUAGGUCAUAUGCAAUCCAAAGACCCAAUCCGAGGACUCAAUCCGAUGUCCCAAUCCAAGGACUCAAUCCGAGGUCAUAUGCAAUCCGAUGACCCAAUCUGAGGACUCAAUCCGAGGACUCAAAAUCCGAGGUCAGGAAAACUAGGGAGGUAACAUAGAAUUCUUAGCUCGAUUAUGUCGGCUAAUCUGACCAGAAGCUAAAGAUGGACAAUUGAAGAUAUCCAGAUGACCUCAGAUGAAAAAGUGUUCAACACGGAGGUUGUUCGUCUCAUCGAAACAGUUAAAUUUACUUUUGGAAAUUUACUUUUGGGCACGUCUCCAUUAGAGAUAGUAUAUGGCUGUAGAAAUAAAAAACCGAACUGUUGUCUCAGGCAUACCUAGAUCCGAG
rnacentral:rRNA from 1 species